AAACGACUCUCGGCAACGGAUAUCUCGGCUCACGCAUCGAUGAAGAACGUAGCAAAAUGCAAUACUUGGUGUGAAUUGCAGAAUCCCGUGAACCAUCGAGUUUUUGAACGCAAGUUGCGCCCGAAGCCAUCCGGUUGAGGGCACGCCUGCCUGGGCGUCACG
rnacentral:rRNA from 1 species